UACGAAGGGGGCUAGCGUUGUUCGGAAUUACUGGGCGUCAAGCGCACGUAGGCGGGUUGUUAAGUCAGGGGUGAAAUCCUGGAGCUCAACUCCAGAACUGCCUUUGAUACUGGCAACCUAGAGACUGGAAGAGGUUAGUGGAAUUCCCAGUGUAGAGGUGAAAUUCGUAGAUAUUGGGAAGAACACCAGUGGCGAAGGCGGCUAACUGGUCCAGCACUGACGCUGAGGUGCGAAAGCGUGGGGAGCAAACAGG
rnacentral:rRNA from 1 species